GCCGGGCGUGGCAAUGCACGCCUGUAAUCCCGGCAGCUCAGGAGGCUGAAGCAGGAGGAUGGCAAGUUCAAAGCCAGCCUCAGCUAA
rnacentral:sRNA from 1 species